rnacentral:rRNA from 1 species
CCUACGGGUGGCUGCAGUGGGGAAUAUUGCACAAUGGGGGAAACCCUGAUGCAGCAACGCCGCGUGAGUGAAGAAGGCUUUCGGGUUGUAAACUUCUUUUAAGAGGGAAGAGCAGAAGACGGUACCUCUUGAAUAGCCCACGGCUAACUAGGUGCCACAAGCCGCGGUAAUACGUAGGUGGCAAGCGUUGUCCGGAUUUACGGGGGGUAAGGGGCGGGUAGCCGGGCUGCCAAUUCAGAGGUGAAAUCCCGUGGCCCAACCACGGAACUGCAUUUGAAACUGUCGGUCUUGAGUGUAGGAGAGGCAGGCGGAAUUCCUAGUGUAGCGGUGAAAUGCGUAGAUAGUAGGAGGAACACCAGUGGCGAAGGCGGCCUGCUGGACGACAACUGACGGUGAGGCGCGAAAGCGUGGGGAGCAAACAGGAUUAGAUACCCGAGUAGUC